CCUACGGGGGGCUGCAGUGGGGAAUAUUGGACAAUGGGGGCAACCCUGAUCCAGCCAUGCCGCGUGUGUGAAGAAGGCCCUCGGGUUGUAAAGCACUUUCAGUGAGGAAGAACGCCUGGUGGUUAAUACCCAUCAGGAAAGACAUCACUCACAGAAGAAGCACCGGCUAACUCCGUCCAGCAGCCGCGGUAAUACGGAGGGUGCGAGCGUUAAUCGGAAUUACUGGGCGUAAAGCGCGCGUAGGUGGCUUGAUAAGCCGGUUGUGAAAGCCCCGGGCUCAACCUGGGAACGGCAUCCGGAACUGUCAAGCUAGAGUGCAGGAGAGGAAGGUAGAAUUCCCGGUGUAGCGGUGAAAUGCGUAGAGAUCGGGAGGAAUACCAGUGGCGAAGGCGGCCUUCUGGACUGACACUGACACUGAGGUGCGAAAGCGUGGGUAGCAAACAGGAUUAGAUACCCGUGUAGUC
rnacentral:rRNA from 1 species